CGCGAGGUGCUCGAGCUUUGCUUCCGCGGGAUUGGCGCUCCGCUCUCCCCGAGCUGUUUGAUGCCUCUGAGACGGAAGGUUUCUGCCGUCUUUUGCGUUGUGAGAGCUUCCUGUGGCCGAGCUCUGAAUUGCACGAGCUGCUCACUGCUGUGUGUGUGCCGUAUGGAUCCACCAUCACUUGACCACGUACAGACGCAAUCCCGACAGAAAACCAGGAGCUGAUGCUUCUUUGAUCACUUCUACCAGCUUCGUGUUAUUGCAGCUGUUUAGAACACAACAAAAAUAUUCUUCAGCACUGUAACGUUUGUUUGAAUUUCUGUUGGCCUCAACAGAUGGCAGCUGGUCUCCUGUUUGGGUAAUAAAUGCCACGGAUGGAUGUGGUACAAUCUGGAUUUUGUCUGAUUUCCACCUGCCACAAGGGCAGACAGCAUCUGCCACCUUUGAGGUUAGCAUAUUUGUUUUGGGUAAACGGCGUUUGUUUGUCAGUGUGGCACCAGAUGGAGCUGCACCCUACAGCAUCACAGGAACUUGGUAUAAGGGUUUUUUGUUUCUUUAAAAACGCACAUUUUAUUUAAGAAUUCUGUUACUAGCGCUUAUCAGUGAUCUGCUGAUGUCAUCUUUCCUUUAGUUAUGUAACCUUUAAAAACCUGAAGUCCUGCUUGUCGUUAAGAGGAAGAUGCAUCUGUUAUCAAAUAUGCAGCUCCAAGACCCCUUUUCUGAACUCAUGCAGCACGUAGGGGCUGACAGAAGAAAAUGGGGAUAGUACUCACAGCAUUCUGCACUGUGGUCCUGAGCUCCUGCUUGGAUGAAGGAAAAAUCUCUCACCAGCUGAAGGUAUCCUGUGGCAUUAACUGAGCCAUUCCUUGCUAGCCAGUGUAAUUCAGCAAGUGGAAUAUCCAGAAUUACUUUAUUGGCCGUAUGUUAAAAAGAAGAGAUGCAUACACUGAUGGAACGAGGCCCUGAUAGUAACCUAUAGCACUUUGGAUACUGCAUUGCUCUGAUCUCUAAGGUCACACAGGAGGCUCGGGCUGUGACAUGGGAUGACUGCUAUGAGCGGAGGAAGCUGAUAAGGAUUUUCCUUUCAGCAUUUAUCGGCAGGUUCUGAGGGAAGCCCAGCCUGCGCGAUUGUUUUUGCCUAUCUGCUCCUUCCUUUGUAGCUCUGGAACUCGCUGACUGGUUUCAACCAGCAAGACGUAGGAAUUUCAAUGGUAACUGCAGUCCCUAAAUAGAGAGCUCCACCAGAUGAAGGAAAGAAACAGCGCUGAGCGACAAAAGAAGCAGAUCCCUGCCUCAUGGAGCGACUGCUGACCCCUCAGCAAUGCAUUUCGAAGGGAUGGAAAUACACAAGCUUUGCUUAUA